AUUGAACGCUGGCGGCAGGCCUAACACAUGCAAGUCGAACGGAUGAAGGGAGCUUGCGCCUGGAUUCAAAGGCGGCCGGGAGAGUAAUGCAUCGGAAUCUGCCUGGGAGGGGGGGAUAGCGUCCGGAAACGGGCGCUAAUACCGCGUAAGUCGUGAGGGAGAGAGGGAGGGAUCGUCGGAAAUCCCGCAAUAAGCUGAACCGAGGUCGGAUUAGCGAGUUGGUGGGGUAAAGGCCUAGCACGGGGACGAUCCGAAAAUGGCCGGAGAGGAUGAUCAGUCACACUUGAACGGCGACACGGUCCAGAGUCCUACGGGCGGCGCCAGUGGGGACUAUUGGACAAUGGGCGAAAGCCUUAUCCAGCCGUGCCGCGUGUGUGAAGAAGGUCUUCGGAUUGUAAAGCACUUUAAGUGGGGAGGAAGGGCAGUAAGUUAAUACCUCGCUGUUUUGACGUUACCAACAGAAUAAGCACCGGCUAACUUCGUG
rnacentral:rRNA from 1 species